rnacentral:rRNA from 1 species
GCUGGCGGCGUGCCUAACACAUGCAAGUUCAACGCGAAAGUCCCGCAAGGGAUGAGUAGAGUGGCAGACGGGUGAGUAAUGCAUAGGUAAUCUACCCUUGAGUGGGGGAUAACUCCGGGAAACCGGUGCUAAUCCCGCAUAACGUCCUGAUGCAUAAGUAUCUGGACCAAAGGGGGGGAUCCUUCGGGACCUCUUGCUUGAGGAUGAGCCUAUGUCCUAUUAGCUAGUUGGUGAGGUAAUGGCCCACCAAGGCUAUGAUGGGUAGCCGAGCUGAGAGGCUGAUCGGCCACACUGGAACUGAAACACGGUCCAGACUCCUACGGGAGGCAGCAGUGGGGAAUUUUGCGCAAUGGGCGAAAGCCUGACGCAGCGACGCCGCGUGAGGGAUGAAGGUUCUCGGAUCGUAAACCUCUGUCAGGAAGGAUUAAAUGUGCGGAUGUGAAUAUCAUCCGUACUUGACUUAACUUCCAAAGGAAGCCCCGGCUAACUACGUGCCAGCAGCCGCGGUAAUACGUAGGGGGCAAGCGUUACUCGGAUUUACUGGGCCUAAAGAGAAUUAAGGCGGUCAUGUAAGUCAGUGGUGAAAUCCCUCGGCUCAACUGAGGAAUUGCCUUUGAUACUGCGUGACUUGAGGACAGGAGAGGAAGGCGGAAUUCCCGGUGUAGCGGUGGAAUGCGUAGAUAUCGGGAGGAACACUUGAGGCGAAAGGCCGCUUCUCUGGACUGGUCCUUGACCCCUGAUAUUCGAAAGCUAGGGGAGCCAACCGGAUUAGAUACCCCCUGGUAGUUCCUAGCUGUAAACCGAUGGGAUACCUAGA